rnacentral:rRNA from 1 species
AUUGAACGAUGGCGGCAGGCUUAACACAUUCAAGUCGAACGAGUGGCGGAUGGGUGUGUGUUGUCUGGGAAACUGCCCGAGUGAGGGGGAUACCUACUGGAAACGGUAGCUAUUAUUGCAUACCAUCGGUAGUGCCCACAUGGGAUUAGCCAUGAGGUGGGGUAACGGUUCAACUAGGAGACGACCCCCAGCUGGUCUGAAAGGAUGACAAGCCACACGGGAGCUGAGACACGGUCCAGAUUCCUACGGGAGGAAGCAGUGGGGAGUAUUGCACAAUGGGCGCAAGCCGGAUGCAGCCAUGCCGCAUGUAUGAAGAGGGCCUUCGGGUUAUAAAGUACUUUCAGCGAGGAGGCGUUACUCGCAGAAGAAACACCGGCUAACGCCGAGCCAGCAGCCGCGGUAAUAC